AACUGAGAGUCGGGCUGCCUCUUGGGAGGAGAAACAGGUGACAGCAAUACUUAACAUGGAGUACAUGGGUUUCAGAAGUUCGUGGACCUCCUAAAAUUAUGGACAAUAUUUGAUGCUGAUUACAUGGUGUCUCUGUGAAAAUUCAUCAGGCGGUAUGCUUGAGAAACUGGAUGCAAUGUAAGAAGUCCAAGCCACCGAAGACCACCAGGCUGGGAAGAAGUCCGAGCUGGCCACAGGGAGAGGCCGGGGAAGCAAGGAGGCCAGCAGACAGCCACGGCCGAGCCUCUAGUCGGAUGCAGUCUAUGAGUGACUCCAGGCAAAACUAGAACAACUGCCCAGGCACUUACAGAAGUGUGUUCAGCAAAUAGUCAUCGAAUGAAUGAAGGAAGGAAGGAAGGAGUGAAGCUCCCUUCCUUUCUGAAAUGCCAUGAUGAUAACCUUUCACUGAUGAAUUGAAGAAUAUUGUAAAUUAUCGUUCCCCAAACUGGAUUCCGUUUCCCAGCUGGUAACAGGGGUUUUGUAUAGGUGUGUGUGUGCGCGGGUGCGUUCGUUGAAUAUUUUUGGAUAUCCUAGCCCCCUCCACUCUCUAGCUCUUUUUAAAUAUUUCACAGCUACCCUCCCCUCUUUUUUUUUCAGAUAGAAUGCAAGUUUCCAGCAGCUCACUAAGCAUUAUUUUCCCUUUGUAAAGCAAAUUGAAUGGGGGCAGCCUGGGAGGCCACAGUUCCUCCGGGAGGCGGGAGGGUAAGGAGUUGGUUGGUCCCUGGGGAUUCUGUCGCUGGGAGAGGCUCGGCUGAUGAGCGACUAUCCCCUGCUGCACUGAGGGCAAAAAUCAACUUAUUCCUUUCAGUCGUUUUCACUGAACUGUUUUUAUUAUCGUUCCCACCGCAUCUUAUCCUACUAGAACGAAAUGCAAUCAAAAUAUGGAUUUAAUUUGACGAGGGAAAGGGCCACGAACAACUGUGAAUUGUCAGUGCUGUGGCAGGCGACAGCCCUGACUUCUGCAAGAACAAAGAUGAGUCAAGCAGCUUUUGCAGAUCAAAGGGAGCUGUCAUACUGCUCCACUGACAAGGCUCGUUAGGUAGAGAAGAAAAUAUCCGAAACACAAGUCAU
rnacentral:lncRNA from 1 species